GAGAGAGAAACUCGUUGAAAACUAGCUACAACUUAUUUAACCAAUGAAGCAUCUAACUAAUUUAACACUUCCCUAGUGCCUUGGAUUUUCUUCUGAAACCCCCAAAGAGGACUGAGGAAGCAAGUGGGAGUCCCACUGCCAGAGAGAGUGAAGAAAUGGAGGAGGCUGUUCCAAUAGAUCUGAUUCCUCCACUCACAAGUGUGUGAGUGAUUAAGAAGCAGCAGUCACAGGAACCCGAAAUCACAUUUCUUCUAGGAAGCCUGGCACUGUUAAUCUGCAAAAGUUUGUUGGAAAAGAAAUGUCUGGACUGCUUUGAUCCAUAUUCUGCUUAUCCGGUAUCUAAUGCAUCUCAAGUUCACUGUCUUCAAACUGUGCAUUUUAAAAGCAUUCCACUAUGGUGAAGACAUCAAACAUAGGCUGUUUUUUCACACUGCAGAGGAAUAGUUACGGACAGGAAGACAAAAAAAGAAAGAAAACAAUAUUUUAAGUUGAAUUCAAGCCAGAUUUAAUGAAAACAAGUCCCCGUACAAGUCUGUUGAAGCAAAUGCUGUGGAAACAGAACAGAAGCCCAUGCUUCAGCCAGGACCGCAAUGGCCUCCUCCCAUGGGAGUAACAGCUGCAUAAAUAGGAGGGAAAUCCUCAGCGGAAUAGCUUCCAACACCUUUCUAAUGGAAAUAAUGAUUUGCAAAACCCAGUUUAUGCCUCUGCCACAUAAUUAGUAGCCAAAAGAGCUAAAGAUUAAAAACACUGUUCCAAGUCCCAGCAUCUCUGAAAUUUGGCAAGACCUUAAAUAUUGCACUCUGUGUUCCAAACAGGUUGCCUAUAUGUGAGCAUUGCAAGGAAAAUCUUAGUCAGUUGAGUCAAGCCCUUGAAUCAGUCAACACUUAUUAUAUGGAAAUUAACCAGUUUGAUGUCAAUUAGUGGAAAUUUGUUAGCAGGCAUACCCUGUGGGACAGUUUAUUUUGAAUUCCGAAUACUCUUUAUUGAAGCCAGCUAAGAUAGUUGAUGUGGUCCCUGACUCCUUCUUUAAAAAUCAGAGUAGAAUUAGUUAAGAAACAGCUAAGAAACGCAGAGAGAAAAAGCUACAUUGAAACACUCUUCAACACUCAAAACCUACCGCUCCAAAAUAUCCAUUGUUGAAUGGGCAUAAAUGCAAGGAAAUCAAGAUCUGAUUUUCUGUUUUAAGAAGGAACAGAAGUAUUAGAUGCAUAUCAGCCUGUUCUGUAUUUGUCAAUACUGAGCACUGGAUGGGAAAGGCAAUUGUUCUAACGACCAUGCUCAAAACUAGCCACAUGCUCACCUAAAACAUUUUCCAGCUAUAAAGCUGGUGUUUCUUUUCCAUCAUGUUGGUAUCCACUGUGCAUUGUGCCCUUUCCAAUGCCUGGUUAGCAAACUGAUGACCCAAAGAAGGCAUUGGGUGUGGUAUGUUAUGCAAGGCAACUGGGAGUCUCAAAGCUGAAUGGGGAUUGAGGCUCCCCUUAUCCAUAACUGUAACCCUCACAUGAGAAAGGCAUAGCCAGGGAAUGCAGCUGCAGGAAUAUAUCCCUUGAUAAAGGACAGAGCUUGCAUCAGAUGCACCAAGAUGAAGAACAGUGACAACGUAGUUGUUCACCCAUAACCCCAGGACAUCAGGUGGAUGAAAUCAAUGAAAGCAUCAUUCCAGGAAUGGGGGGUGUAAUGGUACUGGGAAGAUGAAUUGGCUGUGAUGUCAGAAUCCUCAAGUGCUCCAAAAAUGGAUCAGGUACUACACAACUUAUCCAGAAAGACUGGCAUAAUGCUUCUAGAGAUUAUGCUUCCUGAAAUGAAGUCAUAGCAUUGGACAACUCUAAUUGUCAGGAAGAAUGAUAUCUAGUCCCAGAAGUACCACUUCCUUUCAUUCAUAGUCCAUAGGCAGAACAGCAAGUUGGAAGGCUGAAAAACCCAACCAUAUCUCAUCUAAGGAACAUACAGUUUACCAUACCAGAUUGGACCAAUUAUCCAUCAAGACUGGCCUUGUGUCUCGCUAGUGGCCUAUGUUUGAUGCUCUGAAAAAAAACAGCUGGCGAAUUAUGCAGUGUUCAACAUGGUGGAAAGGGUGGGAGGAUUACUUCAUAUCUCUGUGGUAAUCAUCACCCUGAAUUAUGCAGUUUGAUUGCCCCAUUCUAGCAAGUAAAGCUACAAAUGUUAUUACUGGUCAUAAAAUUAUGCAGCCCUUUAAAAAUCCUGCUACGGUAUUUAACUCUUUGACCUCCACAGUUUAACUGCUGUACAAAGUAGUAUUUUAAGUUUAUUUUUAAAUAAAAUGUAAGUGCCUGAAAACUUGGUAGGCCACCAGUGAAAUUAAAGCAAUACACUAUACCAUUAAUUUUAAUGACAGCUUAACAAAUUUUCAGAAGUUUACUUUAUUCAAAAAUAUUUAACAAACUACUAACUAAAGCUGAAAUUAAUUUGUCAAUGGCAAGCGAUACUUUUGGUUUUACUCAGAUUUGCUUACCACUAAAGACUAUUUGCUCCCAAAAAAGGCUGCAUUUCUCUUUCUUGGAUUUGCAAAAGUCUCUCACACACAAGACUGAGGCAUCUGGCUAGGGCCAGAAAGAGCGUGCAGUACGCCAUGCAGGCUCUCCAAACCACUCUGACUAUGUACCUCCAUGCUAACUUGCAGUACCUUUGAUAUGCUUGUUACUAAGCCUAUCCAGUUCAAAUAAUAAGCAUUGUGCAAAUACCAGUGAUAGUUUUGGGAUACGAACAAGUGUCCACUGAAUACAGCAAUGAGGCAAUCAAAUUCACUUCAUGUACAUGACCACUGAACCCAGCACUCACUGUUAAUGCUUUAAUUUUCUCCCACAAAGCUUUUCUGAAAAUUGUUUAAAUAAGCUUCCUUUACAGAAAGAGAAAGCAUGAUGGGAGAAGGAAUAACAUCUUUAAUUAGAAAAAUUCAAAUCAGCUCUUAAUUUAAUUCAGCAUACCAGCAGCCAUGAUUAGAUCUGCAUCAUGAUAUAUCUCCAAUACAAUCAAUUUUCAUAAAUGCAAACUUUCCUGAAUAUGGUUCUGAUGUAUCCUGACAUUUUAAAAUAUGUCCUAUUGUCCUUUUCUGUGCAGCAGACCAAGCACAGAGUGUUCAGUCCUAUAUCACUGUCACAGUGGUAUUAGACCAGAUGGCUGCUUCCUUGCAGAAUCAAGAAUUAGAGAUAAUUUAUGCUGUUCACUGUUAUUAAAAUGUAGAAAUAUAAGGAGUCUGUAGCAUCCAUACAUGAAAAGCAGCUCAGAUCCAUCAGCAAUACACUGGUGAAAAGGCUCUUUAUACUGCUACCACGCUCUUCAGAGUAAAGUUUCAUUCCAUGGAGCUGUGGGCAUCUGUUAGGCCAGCUGACUGCUUCUUUUGCACACGACAUGUUGGAGGGCUAAACUGAUCUAAGGUACAGGGUUACUUUGUUGGGGAAACAUAUUCAAUUAUUCAGUGAAAAAUCUGAGAGCCCCUUUGUUUUUUAUUUUCUUGGAAAACAAUUGUAUGAACAUUCCUAUUAAUAUUUGUGGGGGAUGGUUGUUUGUGUUCACGAAGAGUUAAAAAUUGAAGUUCUAUUUAUCCACAGGCUUGCUAAACAGUCCUGAAGAAACUUCUCUAUGAUAUGAUAUAUCCAAAGACUUAGAAAAUACUUCUUAGGUUGAGAGCUACAGAAUUCACUCUAUGGUUGAAAUCCUGACCCCACUGAAGUCAGAGAGUUUUUUCCCAUUGAAUUCAAUGGGAGGGGUGAGGUCAAGAUUUCACUCUGAACUGAUUCACUCUUCAGCAUGGACUGUCAUCUGCCUAAAUAAUGUCUGUGGUAUUUUUGAAGAUAAAGAGAUCCAUAGCAACUCAGCAGUAUGCUGAGACCACAAAACUCAUUUCAGUUAGGAAUCUCAAUGUCUGUAUUCCAAAGUUUAAAAAUCUUAAUUGUUUUUAUAAUAAAUAUCAUUAACAAGGUUGAGGGUUUGUUGUUGAAGGAAAUACAACGUAUUCAAGAAUAAAAAUAAACCAUCAAUAAUUCUUCGAUGUCAUAGGAUCAUAGAAAUUAGAGACACAAAAGACCUUUUAGGUGAACUUGUCCAUCCUGCUACCAGUAAAACAUUAUUCACUGCCGUAUAUUUCCUAGUACUUUGUACAAUCUAGUUUCAAAGUGUUCUAAGCUCUGGAGGGAGAAAAUCUUAGUAACAUUAUCUCACCCCAUUAUUCUUAACUGGCUAGCAGAUUAUUUGCAAAUAUGGAGAAAAUACAGUGGCAGAAAUGGGGUAACUACAAUUACACAUACAAAAAGUAAAAGAAUAUCAGUAUACAAUUUACCCAGUGGGAAAGGACAAGAAAAUGGUAAAGAUAGUGUACAGCUAGUAUAGUUAAUCAGUUUAUUUUUCCAAUGCUGGAAGUUUAUCAGAGCACUCUCCCUACAUGAUUUCAGGUUUAUACUCAGAUGAAUGACAAUAACUCUCCCAUCAAUAUCUUGGAAUAUUACAAGUCAAUGGGGAAAAUUUUAUCGGCUGCUGCAGUUCAUUGAGAUUUAAUUGAUACGACAUAGUUACUCCACAUGAACCUAGGAAAGUAUAUCAUUGAGUAAAAUGAUUUAAUUCACUUUAAGCUCAUUUUAAAUUACGCCAGGAAACAUUAAGGGCAGAUUUGUUUCCAAUUCUUCCUGAGCAUAAUUUGUACUUAUGG